GCUGUGGCUUCCAGGUGAAGGGGAUGGUCAGAUCCGCUGGCGUGGGGGACAAGGCCCACAUGGCCAACUCUCUUUGAUCCAUGAGAUGGGAGACUUCAUGCUUAAACAAAAAAUUGUUUCAGUUCACAGAGAAGCUGAGACAACAUCACACUGUCAUUUUUGUUUUAAUCACAUUUUGAAUUUACAAGCUCAAUUUAAGAAGAGAGCUAUGAUAGGAUGUUGGGACCAUGAUGAGAGACUCAAUGAGUGCCUGAAGAGUUGGACUCAGAAUUUACCUGUUCAUCUGAAGAGCCUGCCUUCUUUGAGCUUCACUGGCAGAGCGACAAGAUGAGAGCACUCCCACUUCUUAUCACCUUCUUUAUCAGCAACGCUGAUGCCUACACAAGGGUAUUCUGGGCUGCGCAGAUUGGGGAGCCGGUGAUGUAGUUAUGUUUCCUGGAAAUACAGGUAGCAACUUCCUGUGGCUUCCUCUGUUUUUGAUGUAAAGAUGAGCAUAUGUAACACUAAACACAUCAAGGAUCAGAACUUCAGUCAGUGGUAGUGUAAAUGCUGAAAAAUACUGUCAUUUCCUCAUAAACAUAUGCAGAAGCACAAAGUAUAGGCCGUCUAUGCAGAGCUGGUUCCCCAGUGAGAGCUCAUACAAUAAACUGGGGCAGUGACAACAGCUUAAACUGACUUUCCAUGCCUGAGCAUGCGUCUGUGUCUUGCUGCUUGAAUCACUGAACAUUUCCAUGCACUUACUUGCUUACACAAGUGAUCAAGAACCAAAAUUUCCCUAAAGGUCAAUGUUUUGCAUAAAAAUUAGUCUAAAAAAGGUCUGGUCUGUUUACAAGGUCUUCAGUCAAGAUUUCUCCAGAAUUUGGGGCCAGGUCAGUAAAAGGUCACCCCCUGAAGUGGAAAGCAGUAAAAUUUUCAAAUGAACUAAACUGUUUACACAACCGUCCUAAAAGAUAGUUUAGAAUUAAAUAAAGUAAAGCAUACUUCGGUUGGGAAGGUGGUCACAGUGUUCCUGAGAACUACAAUAAACAAAGAAAAUAAUAUCUUGGCCAUUGAUACCAUAACCUGAUGAAGAAAAGUUGGCAGAAACAGGAUGUACAAUCUGCACAGGGUUUAUACAAAUCAGAGUGCACCGAAAUGGUUUGGGACACAGGAACACUAGUGUUGAAUCCCACCUUUGCCGCUCACUAGCUGAAUGGCAAGUUACUCUGCCUCUGGAAACUUCCACUUCCUCACAGGAUUUGUGUUUGUCUAUCACUGACUCCCUUCCCUUUGUGAAAAACUGCCCUUCCCGGCCACCAUCACAAGCAGCCUCUUGGCCCAAAGACAGUUGUUACAGGACACAGUUCAAUCUUUUUUGCUUACUCUGUUGCUUGUAACCAAAAAAGUCUUGGUUAAACACUUUGUUUGCAAAAGUUGCUGUGACAAUUUAAUGAAGUCACAUAACAAAAACACAGAAAUGCUGGUUAAAUUCCUCGAGAGUAGGUUAGUAUGUGACUAAUAGCUUAGUGCUUGAGUCCAGCUGGAUGAGCUCUCUUGAGGGGAGCUGAGAUUUGAACCCUAUAUUUCAAUUCUCAGCUUCUUAGGUUGUAAAAACAGGGCCAAUAACCAUCACUGGGUUGUGAAGACUGAGUGGAAAUAAAGCACUCAGCACAGUACCUGCCACACACUGGACAUUCUUACGACUCCAAAGGUAGAACUGCUCAAUGCUGUUAAGGACUAACAUUUGUGGAUCUAAAGAGAACGUAACAACCAAGAGGAUGUGGCCUGAGCUAAUGACACACAUCAGUUGUGGUGCCUGAUCUCAACUCUUUCUCCUCUUUCUCAUUUUGGAGGGAUACAGAACAUAUGAGUUAUGAAUUAAUUUCUCACAAAUUCAAUUAUGUCAAUUCUUG